GUCAGGAUGGCCGAGCGGUCCAAGGCACCGCGUUAAGGUCGCAGUCUCCCCUGGAGGCGUGUGUUCAAAUCCCACUUCUGACA
rfam:Xiphophorus maculatus strain JP 163 A Contig3683.2, whole genome shotgun sequence.